CUGAAACAGACAUCCCAGGCUGGGCUUCUAAAGAACUCAGGAGGCAUCAUCUAAAACAUGGUAGCAGCUUAGGGCCCUGCACUCGGGGAAGCAGCCCAGAAGGGGAUUAGAAGAUCUGUGGAGACAGAGCUGGAGUAACUGUCUUCACCCUGCCACCUCCAUGGGGCUGUAUAACAAAAUUACAAAAGCCACCCAGGGGAUGAGUUCUGGCAUUAUCUACUUCCUUCCCUGGCUCUGCCUGGAUUCUGGAGCUCCUCUCUUU